GACAGAGGGGGCAAGCGUUGCUCGGAAUCACUGGGCGUAAAGGGCGCGUAGGCGGGAUGGCAAGUCGGUCGUGAAAUCCUUCGGCUCAACCGAAGAACGUCGGCUGAUACUGCCGUUCUUGAGGGAUGCAGAGGAGAUUGGAAUUCCCGGUGUAGCGGUGAAAUGUGUAGAGAUCGGGAGGAACACCAGUGGCGAAAGCGGCUCUCUGGUCCAAAACUGACGCUGAGGGGCGAAAGCGUGGGGAGCGAACGGG
rnacentral:rRNA from 1 species